rnacentral:rRNA from 1 species
GUCGAGCGGAACGAGUUAUCUGAACCUUCGGGGGACGAUAACGGCGUCGAGCGGCGGACGGGUGAGUAAUGCCUAGGAAAUUGCCCUGAUGUGGGGGAUAACCAUUGGAAACGAUGGCUAAUACCGCAUAAUGCCUACGGGCCAAAGAGGGGGACCUUCGGGCCUCUCGCGUCAGGAUAUGCCUAGGUGGGAUUAGCUAGUUGGUGAGGUAAUGGCUCACCAAGGCGACGAUCCCUAGCUGGUCUGAGAGGAUGAUCAGCCACACUGGAACUGAGACACGGUCCAGACUCCUACGGGAGGCAGCAGUGGGGAAUAUUGCACAAUGGGCGCAAGCCUGAUGCAGCCAUGCCGCGUGUGUGAAGAAGGCCUUCGGGUUGUAAAGCACUUUCAGUCGUGAGGAAGGUGGUGUAGUUAAUAGCUCUAUUACUUGACGUUAGCGACAGAAGAAGCACCGGCUAACUCCGUGCCAGCAGCCGCGGUAAUACGGAGGGUGCGAGCGUUAAUCGGAAUUACUGGGCGUAAAGCGCAUGCAGGUGGUUUGUUAAGUCAGAUGUGAAAGCCCGGGGCUCAACCUCGGAAUAGCAUUUGAAACUGGCAGACUAGAGUACUGUAGAGGGGGGUAGAAUUUCAGGUGUAGCGGUGAAAUGCGUAGAGAUCUGAAGGAAUACCGGUGGCGAAGGCGGCCCCCUGGACAGAUACUGACACUCAGAUGCGAAAGCGUGGGGAGCAAACAGGAUUAGAUACCCUGGUAGUCCACGCCGUAAACGAUGUCUACUUGGAGGUUGUGGCCUUGAGCCGUGGCUUUCGGAGCUAACGCGUUAAGUAGACCGCCUGGGGAGUACGGUCGCAAGAUUAAAACUCAAAUGAAUUGACGGGGGCCCGCACAAGCGGUGGAGCAUGUGGUUUAAUUCGAUGCAACGCGAAGAACCUUACCUACUCUUGACAUCCAGAGAACUUUCCAGAGAUGGAUUGGUGCCUUCGGGAACUCUGAGACAGGUGCUGCAUGGCUGUCGUCAGCUCGUGUUGUGAAAUGUUGGGUUAAGUCCCGCAACGAGCGCAACCCUUAUCCUUGUUUGCCAGCGAGUAAUGUCGGGAACUCCAGGGA